AGCACUCAAUUAUAGCCAUGCAAAGCAAAUCACAGCCUAUCUGCCUCUACAAUCUCAAUGUUCGACUACAGACUCAUCAGGAUAUUAUAAAGGCACAAAAAAUAAAAUCAAAUGACAACAAGGUACUUUGAAUGGAAUGGAAACAACCCUAGAAAAAGUGAAGUUGAUGAAGGUGUUUUACUGAGGAUAUCCAGAGGGAGUUUUGUGGAAAAUUUUUCUAUUAGAAUUUGUUUUGAUCACAGUAAAAUA
rnacentral:misc_RNA from 1 species